AGAUGAUCAGGUGGCAAAGUGCUUGUCACACAAGCAUGAGGACACGAGCUUGAUCUCAGAACUCAGAUCUUAAAAAUCCUCAGCCUUGCAGCACACUCUUGAAACCCCAGCACUGGCGGACGUAGAGACAGGCUCCCUACUCCAGAGUGUAAAGACAAACACUGGGUUGAAGAGGUGGCUCAGCCAGCAAAGUGUUCACUGCACAAGCGUGAGGAGAUCUGAGCUUGAUCCCCAGAGUCCAGGUGAGGCUUAGAAACUGGGUGGACCAGCCUGCAGCCACCUGCCUUUGAUUCCCAGCGGAGGAAGACCAGCUGGAUUUAAUAGCCAGUUUCCUUAACCCUCCUGGCAGCAGUGGAGAUGUCUGAAGGACACGAGUGUCCCUCCCACUGGCUUUCAGGUUACCAAAGCAAAGAACCCCAAGAAACUGAAAUUUCCCCAGGAUUUCAUGCAGAAGAAGAGAAAGGGCAAAACCUUGACCAGCCCAAGGAGGAAUGUGUCUUCUGGGAAGAGACGGUACACAUUCCUGACAACUUGUCAGGUCACCUUGUGGCAGAGACUGGAGCUGAGACAAGGAUGGGAUAAUAGUGGGCAGGAGCAACCUUGGCCAGGACUGUUUUGUUUUAUGUGCUCUUGCCCUCUAUUUAAAUCUGAAGAAGGCCUUGGGUGGGAAAGGUCUCUAGGCUUCUCUGCUCCUCUUUCCAAUGUGGCCAUAAUGAAUACAUCUCCCUUGCUUGCUUGGCAUGAGUGUUUGUGUCUUUAAUUGUCAUUGCUUGCUUGUUAGAGGUGCCAGGGCAAUGUUUCUUUCUUAAAAAAAAAACAAUUGUGUAUUUGAGAAAGAGAGAGAGAGAGAGAGAGAGAGAGAGAGAGAGAGAGAGACAGAGAGAGACACAGACAAAGAGAGACAGAGACACAGAGAGAGAUGGUGGGCUCAUAUCAUGUGGCAGAGGCCAACUUUGUGGGGUCAGCCUCUCCUACCAUCUUUACAAGGAUUCUUGGAUCAGAUGCAGGUAACUGAGCCUUACAGCAAGGACCUUUACCUGGUGAGCCAUCUCGCUGGCCUGCUGAGUAAUGUCAUUCCUCCCAGCAGGUCUUGCUUGGUUACAUCAGCCACCGCUUACAUCCCGUGGUGAUGGGAAAUGGCUGUGAAAAACCUUCACACCCUCUCUCUCUUCCUGAUUCCUAGGGGAGCAUGAGCUAGCUGUCAUCCAGAGGGCUGGACUCAUCACAGAGUAGCCAUUUCUCAGGGUACCACGAUUGGCCUGGAACUGGGUCUGUCACCAGGGAUACACAGGUUCAUAGAAUACAUCUGAAUGGAGACCAGCUGAGAAAAAGCUCUGCGUGGUACGGAGGAAGAGAGCAGUGUGGUUGCAGCGGGGAAUAGUGGUCACUACAUCGGUGAAGCUCUGAGUCGGGGCCUGGCAGAUGGAAGGAAGAGACAGGGGCAGAUAGGUGUUGUGUAACAGCCGUCCUCCAAGCAAAGCAACUCCUGCCUUCAUAAGGACACGGGACACCUGUGGGCCACCAGGACUGACAAGCCUACUCACUAAGGCCCUGUAUGACAUGUCAGUAGGAACAAAUGAAGGUAAACAUUUCUUCUUUAGCGGUCAGCCUGCUGUCAGGAGGCAAUGACUAAGUACAAGAAAAUCCUCGCAGACAAGUUUUGCUUCAAUGCACAAAUUACAUCACUGGAUAAUAACUUGGAGAGAACGGAUAGUGGCAGGUCACUGAUUUAUGAGCCCAGCCUAGGAGAAGGAAAUGAAGACAAAGGAUCUUCGGGGGUUGAUUAUCCAUGUUUAGCAAAGAUGAAUGAAUGGCUGUCGCUAAUUAGGUUUUCUUAUUCAACAGUUAUUUACUCAGUUAGGUGCAGUGCUAGAUACUAAAGAAGCCACAGUGCAUGCAGCGCCGCUCGUUUCUACGGGGCUCUGAGUAGAUGAGUGGAUUCAACACAACUACACGGCUUAGGCUGUGAGAGAGGCAAAAUCCAGGGUGCUGCGACGGCAGAGACCACUGCCCUGACCGUCAAGGAGAGUCUUGCUUUCAAGACCUUCAAUGCUAGGUGUGAACCUAUUACUAUUACCUUGCUAAGUGGACAUAGUAUCAACUUGCCUUCUAAAUACAUAUCUCUAUGCACACAGAUUAAUGCAGCUCUCAAACCCCACCAGGGAAGCAUAUUUGCUCAGUGGAUAGACAGUUCACAACUUACAACUGGUCAAAUAGCAGAGUAAGUGUCUGUAGAAUGCACAGCCCCAAAUGGGACAGCUAUCUGCACCUAAGGCUGACUCAUGCGGCAUCCUGGAAGAGGGCAUGGUAAGAGCUGGAGGCUGCAAAGGACUGGGGACUUUGAAAGAGUGUCUUCUCGAGACAGCUCCAUUCAGGAAGUCACAGGAGGCACAAGGCCUACAGAAGACCAAGUCAAUCAACAACCUGUACUGAACAAAGGAGAAGCUCACCAGCCUGCACCCCUGGUUGAGGAACUAGCAGGAGACGAUCAUCACUAGGGAAUGGAGAGUCAGUUAUGUUUAGGGGUAUGCUCCCAUGGUGCUCACCAUGUGUGGUGGAGGAGAGUCAUCUGUCUAUGUGUUACUUUCAUUGAUUAAUAAAGAAACUGCCUUGGCCCUUUAAUAGGA